UCCAACUUAUACGACCACAUGAGGAUCAUGCGCAUGCGACAAGUUUGCUCCACAUUUUGACUCUGCGCCGCCGUGCUUCACCCUCGCCCCUCGCCUCGUCACGAAGGAGUCAUCGCCAUUAGCAUCAUCGGAAUGUCGUUGGAACCGUUGCAAGACGUUUGAACGGUCUCCGCGCUCGCUCGUCCAUUUGUGAACAAAGGAGGCCGUGAUUUUGCGUCGUAUGGGCGGCUGCAGUGUUGCGUCCCGUCAGGCCAUGAAAGAAGGAAGGAGGAUAUGAUUUUGCGUCGUAAUGGGUUUUUGUUGUUUGUUCGGAGCAGCGGCUGCAGUGUUGCGUCCCGUCAGGCUCUACUUUGUUGAACACUAAGCUGGGUGAACCAACUUUGUUGUUGCUAUGACCGUAUUACUCAGUUUUACUCACUUGUGUUUGAACGUUACUAAUUUGCGAUUGCACGCCCUAUUUCAGACACAUAUCUCUCCAGCGCUUCAGAGACGUCGCUGGCGCCGAAAUU